rnacentral:misc_RNA from 1 species
UAAUCAGUUUGUAUACCUCCGUCGCAAGCUCACCAUAUGAAUGCUAAUUAGUGGGCAUAAGGGUUACCUCACCAAUACGUCAGGUCAAGGUGCAACCUACAAAGUGGGAAGAAUGGGCUACAAUUUCUAAACUAGAACACACGAAAACACAGAUGAAAAAUGAAAAAUGACAGAAGGCGGAUUUAGUAGUAAGGAGAAAAUAAAAUAUUCCCCUUAAUCCACAAUGAGACGUGCACACACCGCCCGUCGCCCUCUUCGAUUGUAGAGGUUAGAGCUGCCUCGACAUCUCGGCCUUCUGCUUAGAAGAGGUAAGUCGUAACAUGGUAAGCAUACUGGAAAGUGUGCUUGGUAACAAAAUAUAGCUUAACCAAAGCGAUUCGCUUACACCGAACUAAUAUCUAAUAAACCAGAUUAUUUUGAUAGCCACAAACUCAGCCCACACCCCCUUUCAACCCCCCCCACCACAAAAACAUUUCUACAAUUCAGUAAAGGCGAUUAAAAACUUAAUAAGAGCUGUAUAUUAAGUACCGCAAGGGAAAAGUGAAAUAGAAUUGAAAUAAACAAUAAAGCUAAUAAAAGCAGAGAUCCACACUCGUACCUUUUGCAUCAUGGUCUAGCCAGUCUCAACAAGCAAACUAUAAUAUACAGCUUGUACCCCCGAAACCUGAACGAGCUACUUUAAGACAGCCCAAGGGCCAACCCGUCUCUGUUGCAAAAGAGUGGGGAGAUUUUCAAGUAGCGGUGAUACACCAACCGAGCCAGGAGAUAGGUGGUUGUCAAGAAAAGAACUUUAGUUCUCCCUCAAAUUUACAGUACUAAUUAAUACAUCAAUUUGAGACCCACUCAAAUAAGGUACAGCCUGUUUGACACCGGAUACAACCAAAAACUUAGGGUAAUGUCAACCCAAUUUAAUCUAAGUGGGCCUAAAAGCAGCCACCUUUCAAAACGCGUUACAGCUUACUUAUCCCCACUUACAAUACCUUCCCCUCUACAAAUCCCCACUCUAGUAUUGAGCACUCUUAUAACAUAUAAAUGAUAUUAUGCUAGAACUAGUAACAAGAACUUGUUCUCCAGGGCGUAAGUAUACAUCAUAAAUAUUACCACCACUGUAGUAACCCUUCAAGAAAUCCCUACCACCCCACCAGACCUAAUAUUAAACUUACACAAGAACACCCCCGGAAAGACUAAAAUAAAAAGAAGGAACUCGGCAAACCUUAGUCUCGACUGUUUACCAAAAACAUUGCCUGUUGACCAACUAUAACAGGCCAAGCCUGCCCGCUGAAGUUUUAUUUAAAUGGCUGCGGUACCCUGACCGUGCAAAGGUAGCACAACCACUUGUUCUAUAAAUGAGGACUAGUAUGAAUGGCACCACGAAGACUACACUGUCUCCUUUCUACUGUCAGUGAAACUGAUCUCCCCGUGAAAAAGCGAGGAUUAUACUAUAAGACGAGAAGACCCCAUGAAGCUUCAAUUUAAGUACCAACUGCUACCCGUUAAACCACUUUGAAUUCGUGGCAGAUCUGGCUAUCAAAUUUUGGUUGGGGCAACCGCGUAGCAAAACAAAACCUCUGCGACACAAUAAUGACAGUGAACUUCCACUCAACUUAUGAACAACACUUCUAAAUAUCAAAACAUUGCCCCCCCCUGAUCCAAACCUUUGAUCGACGAACCAAGUUACUCUGGGGAUAACAGCGCAAUCUAUUUCAAGAGCCCCUAUCGACAAAUAGGUUUACGACCUCGAUGUUGGAUCAGGAUAUCCCAGUGGCGUAGACGCCACUAAUGGUUCGUUGUCAACGAUAAAA